UUGCUUUCUUUGCUGGCGACCGGCGCACGGGUGAGUAACACGUAUCCAACCUGCCCUUUACUCGGGGAUAGCCUUUCGAAAGAAAGAUUAAUACCCGAUAGCAUAAUGAUUCCGCAUGGUUUCAUUAUUAAAGGAUUCCGGUAAAGGAUGGGGAUGCGUUCCAUUAGGUUGUCGGUGGGGUAACGGCCCACCAAGCCUUCGAUGGAUAGGGGUUCUGAGAGGAAGGUCCCCCACAUUGGAACUGAGACACGGUCCAA
rnacentral:rRNA from 1 species